AUUGAACGCUGGCGGCAGGCUUAACACAUGCAAGUCGAGCGGAGAGAGGUAGCUUGCUACUGAUCUUAGCGGCGGACGGGUGAGUAAUGCUUAGGAAUCUGCCUAUUAGUGGGGGACAACAUUUCGAAAGGAAUGCUAAUACCGCAUACGUCCUACGGGAGAAAGCAGGGGAUCUUCGGACCUUGCGCUAAUAGAUGAGCCUAAGUCGGAUUAGCUAGUUGGUGGGGUAAAGGCCUACCAAGGCGACGAUCUGUAGCGGGUCUGAGAGGAUGAUCCGCCACACUGGGCCUGAGACCAGGCCCAGACUCCUACGGGAGGCAGCAGUGGGGAAUAUUGGACAAGGGGCGCAAGCCUGAUCUAGCCAUGCCGCGUGUGUGAAGAAGGCCUUAUGGUUGUAAAGCACUUUAAGCGAGGAGGAGGCUACUUUAGUUAAUACCUAGAGAUAGUGGACGUUACUCGCAGAAUAAGCACCGGCUAACUCUGUGCCAGCCGCCGCCGUAAGAC
rnacentral:rRNA from 1 species